GUUGUGGCUCAGCGGUAGAGCACUUGUCUAGCAUGUGUGAGGCACUGUGUUCAAUCCUCAGCACAACA
rnacentral:tRNA from 1 species